AGUUGCGAGAUGUGGAGUGUUCCUGGAAGUCGGACUACCUGCCUUUCCCUGGGAACACCUGUAGGAGCAGCAGCAUAAACGCUCAGGUAUUAAGAUGCUUGCCCUGUGUUGCCAUUCUUUCAAGAGUGAUUGGAGCCGAGCCCUACUGCCCUUGCAGAAAAGCACACUUGUCUACAGAACCUCCAGGCAUGAAGGAAAAUAUGAAAUGCCCUUUUAGGCCUUUUAGUGCCCAAGGGGUGCAGAAUACCAAAUAUCCGGGCCAGGCUCCUCUGGCUUCGGAGGCUUGUACCGGGAUCAGGGCGCACCAUGGUUCCAUGCAUGCGUAAUUGGUCCUGGUUGCUUUGGGUGGAUAUACAUUUCACAGAGCGUCUGUUCUCUGAGCCCUGGAAAUGUAUCCUUUAAUCUCUGACUCAAAAAACCCCUUGACUCUGGGAGGAGACACCAAAGGCCUUCUCCUGACAGGCAGGGAGAGGGCUGUUUGGAUUGCUAAUUUGUUUUCACUCUUUAGUCUGUUUUUCCUUCAUACUGAUGUUCCUCUUUAGACCUUGAGUAUGAAUAAUUCCGCAUAGCCUGAGGGAAGAAGCAGGAGGCCCGCUUGUAGAGUUGUUUGUACUGUAAUGAAAUAGAAAGUUUAAAAGCCCAGUGAAGCUUGAACAGUUGGAAAAGGAGGGAGGUCUAGAAUGUACUUUAAAAAUCACUCAUAAAACAUGGCAAACUCUGGGAGCCUCUUGGAGGUCAGGGAGAUUGCCUACUCACUUUAGAAAGACGCCCGCAAGCAGAACAGCACCCAGUCCCCGCAAAUGUCGGGUCUCAAUGCCGUGUCCCAACCACCUGAAUGCUCUUCGAGAUACUGUUAUUAAUCCUGUAUUUUAGGAAUUGUCAUUUUUGAAAGCCAAGCUAAGUAUUUGCAUUUUCUGGAUUGUGAGUAGUAACUUGAUAACUAGCCAUCUGAAAGAUUUGAUCUCUACUAUUUAGUUUUUGGGUAGCUUCUGGUACGGAAGUGGUUAGGUUCAAUCAAAUUUAAUGCAAAGAAGUCAAGGACCCUAGGCCCAUGUAUUCUACUGAGCCUUUAGUUGUGUUAAUUAGACACAGACUGGACAUCUUCGUGAGAGUUAUGCUGACAACGUAGUUUAUUAAAUGUUGUAUGGCUACAUGAUAUUAUAACUACACAUUUAUGUGGAGGUGAGUCUUCAAAACUGUGAGCUCUUUGAGGUCUAUAAAUCUCCAGCAAAUAGAAUAAUACCUAUUAUAUAGCAAAUGCUCGAUUAAUGUCAGGGACUGGCUGAGAGCCAUGAUAGAAACUUGACAAAUGAGUAGACUAGAUCGGUAGAAACCCUCUUCACUCAUGGAAAGACAAAUUAUCAACAUGCCUUUUUAAUAGAAAAAGAAAAGAAGCAUAGGGUGGUAGAAUGGAGUUUCAAGCCCUUCCUUCCUGCCCUCUUUCUUGGAGGGGCUCUUUGACAAUUGGAAUUAGUACAGUACACUGGAGUUCCGAUCUGAUGUGUCAUCAGUACUAUCUACAGACAAGUUUGUUUUUUAUGUAGCUGCUAUAUACUGAGGAAAUGGAAGAAUCAGAAUAUUUAUUCUCCUCUCUUCAGAUGGGACUGGCUGGUUGAAAGCCGGUCAUGGG